UACGUAGGUGGCAAGCGUUGUCCGGAAUUAUUGUGCGUAAAGCGCACGUAGGCGGCUAUUCAAGUCAGAGGUGAAAGCCCAGGGCUCAACCCUGGAACUGCCUUUGAAACUAGAUAGCUAGAAUUCUGGAGAGGUCAGUGGAAUUCCUGGUGUAGCGGUGGAAUGCGUAGAGAUCAGGAAGAACACCCAUGGCGAAGGCAGCUCUCUGGGCCGGUACUGACGCUGAGACGCGAAAGCGCGGGGAGCGAACAGG
rnacentral:rRNA from 1 species